CCUACGGGAGGCAGCAGUAGGGAAUCUUCCACAAUGGGCGAAAGCCUGAUGGAGCAACGCCGCGUGGGUGAAGAAGGUCUUCGGAUCGUAAAACUCUGUUGUUAGAGAAGAAAGUGCGUGAGAGUAACUGAUCACGUUUCGACGGUAUCUAACCAGAAAGCCACGGCUAACGACGUGCCAGCAGCCGCGGUAAUACGGAGGUGGCAAGCGUUAUCCGGAUUUAUUGGGCGUAAAGGGAACGCAGGCGGUCUGUUAAGUUUGAUGUGAAAGCCUUCGGCUUAACCGGAGUAUUGCAUUGGAAACUGGCAGACUUGAGUGCAGAAGAGGUGAGUGGAACUCGGUGUGUAGCGGUGAAAUGCGUAGAUAUAAGGAAGAACUCCGGUGGCGAAGGCAGCUCACUGGUCUGUAACUGACGCUGAGGUUCGAAAGCGUGGGUAGCAAACAGGAUUAGAUACCCUAGUAGUC
rnacentral:rRNA from 1 species